AGAGGGAUAGCUGGGUCAAAUGGUGAUUCCAUUCCAAGUUUUCUAAGGAAUCUCCAUACUGCUUUCCAUAUUGGCUGCACCAAUUUAUAGUCCCUCCAGCAAU
rnacentral:pre_miRNA from 1 species